UUCCCCCAUGCUUUGGGCAUAACAUGAGUUCUUUUCUUCUUAAAAGGGAAACAACAAAUAGGAGAAAAUUGGUUAACUCUUAUCCUUCAACCUUUUUGUAAACUGAUCCUCCUUCCUCAGAUACACCAUCCUCUUCCAAAGCACAAAAUAUGGCCAUCCACGAGGUGUCUGACACUUUCAAAGAAAUCUGAAAAUGGGGGCACUUGUCCCUCUGUAGCACCUGGCGCUUGUUUCUUCAAAUUCUGGGAGUAGUAUCCCAAGAUGACACAGUCCUUGUU
rnacentral:lncRNA from 1 species